rnacentral:rRNA from 1 species
GGCGGCGUGCCUAACACAUGCAAGUCGAGCGAGAAAGGGUAGCAAUACCUGAGUAAAGCGGCGCACGGGUGAGUAACACGUGGGUAACCUGCCUCGGAGUGGGGAAUAACACCGGGAAACCGGUGCUAAUACCGCAUAUACCGAUGGGGUCUUCGGAUCUCGUCGGGAAAGGAGCAAUUCGCUCUGAGAGGGGCCCGCGGCUGAUUAGCUAGUUGGUGAGGUAAUGGCUCACCAAGGCAACGAUCAGUAUCCGGUCUGAGAGGACGGUCGGACACACUGGAACUGAGACACGGUCCAGACUCCUACGGGAGGCAGCAGUGGGGAAUUUUUGGCAAUGGGGGAAACCCUGACCAAGCAACGCCGCGUGGAUGAUGAAGUAUUUCGGUACGUAAAAUCCUUUCGACGGGGACGAAGCCGCAAGGUUGACGGUACCCGUAGAAGAAGCCCCGGCUAACUCCGUGCCAGCAGCCGCGGUAAUACGGGGGGGGCAAGCGUUGUUCGGAAUUACUGGGCGUAAAGGGCGCGUA